GUCUUGCAAUUGGAUUGAGAACAAUGUACAACUCUUAUCGAUAAGCCAUUGGAGGGCAAGUCUGGUGCCAGCAGCCGCGGUAAUUCCAGCUCCAAUAGCGUAUAUUAACGUUGUUGCAGUUAAAAAGCUCGUAGUUGAAGUGUGGGUGAUCGCUGUUGUGAGACUUCGGUCUCUCGACAGUAAGUCACCCCCUUCCAGUAUCCAGUAGUGGGUAUUCAGUUACUUACUAUUGUGUGUUGGUCGUUUACUGUGAGAAAAUUAGAGUGUUCAAAGCAGGCGUUUGCUUGAAUAGAUUAGCAUGGAAUAAUAAUUGAAGGCUUUCGUGUUCGAUUUGAUUGGUUUGUUCAUGGAAGCAAGGUUAAAAGGAACAGUUGGGGGUAUUCAUAUUCACUAGUUAGAGGUGAAAUUCUCGCA
rnacentral:rRNA from 1 species